rnacentral:lncRNA from 1 species
UGGCAUCUUAAAUCAACUAAAGAUCGGCUCAUCUAGAAUUCAUCGGAAGAAAGGUGGAUGAGUAUUGAUGCUGAGUACAUCGAUAGAAUCUCGAUUAUUUAUUUAGAGCUGAUCCAGUCGGCGAUCAAGCUCCUUUAGCUUAUGGUUGUAUUCAUCCAAUCGUCUCUGAGAUUUGUCAGGAUGCUGAGAAUAUCCUGAGGUAGAGCCUUCCCUAGAAGAGCUCGAUGGAGAUGUCUCUUCUCCUUCUGAGAGGCUCGCCGAGGGGA